UAAAACCAGCACCUCAAGUGGUCAGGAUGGUUAUUGGGCCUAAAGCAUCCGUAGCCGGCUCUGUAAGUUUUCGGUUAAAUCUGUACGCUUAACGUACAGGCCGCCGGAAAUACUGCAGAACUAGGGAGUGGGAGAGGUAGACGGUACUCGGGAGGAAGUGGUAAAUGCUUUGAUCUCUCGAUGACCACCUGUGGCGAAGGCGGUCUACCAGAACACGUCCGACGGUGAGGGAUGAAAGCUGGGGGAGCAAACCGGAUUAGAUACCCGGGUAGUCCCAGCUGUAAACUAUGCAAACUCAGUGAUGCAUUGGCUUGUGGCCAAUGCAGUGUUGCAGGGAAGCCGUUAAGUUUGCCGCCUGGGAAGUACGUACGCAAGUAUG
rnacentral:rRNA from 2 species